rnacentral:rRNA from 1 species
AUUAAACUGAAGAGUUUGAUCCUGGCUCAGAUUGAACGCUGGCGGCAUGCCUUACACAUGCAAGUCGAACGGCAGCACGGGUGCUUGCACCUGGUGGCGAGUGGCGAACGGGUGAGUAAUACAUCGGAACGUACCUUAUCGUGGGGGAUAACGCAGCGAAAGUUGCGCUAAUACCGCAUACGCCCUGAGGGGGAAAGCGGGGGACCGUAAGGCCUCGCGCGAUUAGAGCGGCCGAUGUCUGAUUAGCUUGUUGGUGAGGUAAAAGCUCACCAAGGCGAUGAUCAGUAGCUGGUCUGAGAGGACGAUCAGCCACACUGGGACUGAGACACGGCCCAGACUCCUACGGGAGGCAGCAGUGGGGAAUUUUGGACAAUGGGGGCCGCGUGAGUGAAGAAGGCCUUCGGGUUGUAAAGCUCUUUUGUCAGGGAAGAAACAGCAGCUCUAACACAGACUGCGAAUGACGGUACCUGAAGAAUAAGCACCGGCUAACUACGUGCCAGCAGCCGCGGUAAUACG